rnacentral:lncRNA from 1 species
AGGCACGUUUCUACAACUUUCAUGUUUUGGAAGAAGUCAAAUUCGUAUCACAAAGCAGCUAAAAUUACCGUGCAAAGUCCAGCUUGUUACCUGCCGGAUACAGCUUUACCUGUGAAGCAGCACUUAUUGUUUUUGUCAUAUCUGGAGUUAUAUAGAUCCAAUGAACCUGAUAUUUGAACCAAUGGAAAGCUAACUCAAGUGGUAAUAAUUUAUCUGUUGAUCAUAAGUCCAAAUUCGCUGCAAAAUAUAUCUGAAAAUUGGCAUCAAGUUGCAUGUUCCAGCUGUCUUGAAGCUGGACAGAAACAAGUUGCAUUGCCUACUUGAAUUUUGGAUGUUUCUUUGCCUAUAAAAGGGGACCUUGGCCACGAUUUUGAAG